rnacentral:rRNA from 1 species
GUCUUGGUCAAUUAGAGGAAGUAAAAGUCGUAACAAGGUUUCCGUAGGUGAACCUGCGGAAGGAUCAUUAUUGAAAUCCCAAAGUGAGAAGUUGUAGCUGGCCUCUCUCGAGGCAUGUGCACACUUUGAUCUUCAUUUCAUACACCCUUUGUGCACCUUUUGUAGAGAGAAUGGCUAUCCGCUGUUCUUUCUAUGUCUUUGAACACACCCCUGCAAUAUGUCAUAGAAUGUAUUAUAAUUUGCUUGCUGUAACAGGCAAUCAAAAGUUUUAAAUAUAACUUUCAACAACGGAUCUCUUGGCUCUCGCAUCGAUGAAGAACGCAGCGAAAUGCGAUAAGUAAUGUGAAUUGCAGAAUUCAGUGAAUCAUCGAAUCUUUGAACGCACCUUGCGCUCCUCGGUUUUCCGAGGAGCAUGCCUGUUUGAGUGUCAUUAAAUUCUCAACUCUUCAUGCUUUUAUGUUUGAAGGGCUUGGAUUGUGGGGUGUGCUGGCGAAAGUCGGCUCCUCUCGAAUGCAUUAGUGGGACUCUAUGCCGCUACGGAUGGUGUGAUAAUUAUCUACGCCUGAGCUGUGGAUGGCUUCUCAACGAGAUCCUGCUUCCAACCGUCUUCGGACAAACUUAACUUUGACUUUUGACCUCAGAUCAGGUAGGAUUACCCGCUGAACUUAAGCAUAUCAAUA